rnacentral:rRNA from 1 species
CACCGGCGGCUCGAGUGGUGGCCACUUUUAUUGGGUCUAAAGCGUCCGUAGCCGGCUUGGCAAGUCCCCUGGGAAAUCUGGCGGCUUAACCGUCAGGCGUCCAGAGGAUACUGCCAGGCUUGGGUCCGGGAGAGGUGAGAGGUACCUCAGGGGUAGGGGUGAAAUCGUGUGAUCCCUGAGGGACCACCAGUGGCGAAGGCGUCUCACUAGAACGGGUCCGACGGUCAGGGACGAAAGCUGGGGGCACGAACCGG